rnacentral:RNase_P_RNA from 2 species
AAAGACAGCUGGGCAAUCGCUGCUUCAUUUAUGAAGGAGAGGAAAGUCCGGGCUCCAUAGGGCAGAGUGCCAGAUAACGUCUGGGCGGCGCGAGCCGACGACCAGUGCAGCAGAGAGUAUACCGCCGAUGGCUGGCAACAGCACAGGUAAGGGUGAAAGGGUGCGGUAAGAGCGCACCGCGCAGCUGGCAACAGUUUGUGGCACGGUAAACUCCACUCGGAGCAAGAUCAAAUAGGGUUCCUUAUGGCGUGGCCCACGUUGGAACCGGGUAGAUUGCUUGAGCCUUAGUGCGAAUUAAGGCCUAGACGAAUGAUUGCUAAUCUUUUAUAGAUACAGAACCCGGCUUACAAGCUGUCUUUUCAC